GACGAACGCUGGCGGCGUGCUUAACACGUGCAAGUCGAGCGGUAAGGCCCUUUCGGGGGUACACGAGCGGCGAACGGGUGAGUAACACGUGGGUGACCUGCCCUCAGCUCUGGGAUAAGCCUGGGAAACCGGGUCUAAUACCGGAUAUGACUCCAUGACGCAUGUUGUGGGGUGGAAAGCCUUGUGCGGCUGAGGAUGGGCCCGCGGCCUAUCAGCUUGUUGGUGGGGUGAUGGCCACCAAGGCGACGACGGGUAGCCGGCCUGAGAGGGCGACCGGCCACACUGGGACUGAGACACGGCCCAGACUCCUACGGGAGGCAGCAGUGGGGAAUCUUGCGCAAUGGGCGAAAGCCUGACGCAGCGACGCCGCGUGAGGGAUGACGGCCU
rnacentral:rRNA from 1 species